rnacentral:rRNA from 1 species
CAGUCGCCGCGGUAAUACAGAGGGUGCAAGCGUUAAUCGGAAUUACUGGGCGUAAAGGGCGCGUAGGUGGUUGCGUAAGUGAGAUGUGAAAUCCCCGGGCUUAACCUGGGACGUGCAUCUUAUACUGCGUAACUGGAGUGCAAGAGAGGGUAGUGGAAUUUCCGGUGUAGCGGUGAAAUGCGUAGAUAUCGGAAGGAACACCAGUGGCGAAGGCGGCUACCUGGCUUGACACUGACACUGAGGCGCGAAAGCGUGGGGAGCAAACAGGAUUAGAUACCCGCGUAGUCCCUGUCUCUUAUAC